CUGGCUGCAGUUACCAGUGCCUGGCAACUAGGGCUGUGUGAAGCUUUGGGUGUUGAUUUGAUUCAGAGGAUAUUCGAUGCAAUUUGCCAGCCUAAUCGCCGAAUCUGAAUUGAAUCAGGAGACCAAUUAAAAGGUCCAAAUCGAUUCAAAGCUCUCUGAAUCAAUUCAGAAAUGAUUCAGAGAAGUUCGGCAAUUUGGGCAGUCCUGCUUGCUGCCGCAGGGACCUAGACCCGGACUCUGUGCUAAAUCCUUUAUAAUAUAUUAAAAAUAAAGAGUGUGAAGUUAAAGGAGGAGCUGACUUUCUAGCAGUCUACCCUGCCAAGUUCUGCCAUUAGCUUUCACAUGGAGCUGUUCACAGCUGCCUUGAAGAUGGGAUCCUACCAGUCAGUUACCAAGAAGCAGUUCUCAUGUCUGCCCAAGAAAGGAUAUCUUGGUAACAUUAAGAACUGGAAACUGAUAUUUUGCAGUUGUGUGCACUGACUACAAAAUCUUAACCAGAACUUUGGCAAACCAGCUCGAAAUGGUCAGCCCACCAGGCUGGGUCCUGUGUGCAUGGAACCAACCUGGCCCAAUGGCGCGCGGGGCCUGUGCAUGCAGGACCUGGCUAGCUAUGACAGGCAGUCCCAAUGAGCAGUGUGGGGUCCCGUGUGCCAGGAUGAGCAUCCCAGAGCUGCCCAAAGGUGCACAACGCUGCGUCAAGCUGGGCCAGGCCCACAUGACAUGGCACAGGCAGCGUCGGGUGCCAGAUAGCCAGGGCUGAGCUGCACUGCCAGACGCUGCCCCACACCACGCAGUGGGGGCUGUUCCAGGAGGCCCUGAGCACCCUGAUGGCUGCUGCUGCUGGUGAGCUGUAGGCUGUGCAGGGGGAGGGGGCUGGGUCUGGGACUGUGCAGGGGGGCAUGUGGGCCCUACAGGCAGUGGACCCAUCCCUCCUGAGCUGCUCCCCCACAGUCUCCCACACCCUCACAGGCCCCCUCCCCACUUCUUCAGCCCCCCCAGCCCCUUACUUACCUGGAACGGAGCUCGGGUCCAGGUCACUGCAGCCUGCAUCACUGUUGUCCAGCAUGGGUAGGCAACAUGCCGCAGUAUCGAGGCAAGGGGCAGGCAUGGAGAUGCUCUGGCCAGCUAUCAAAGCAUCUCUGUGGAAGACCUGAGUCUCUGGUUACCUCAAGGCAUGAUCCUGAACCUUGCUCCGUUUUUUUUCUGGGGUUGUUUGUUUGUUUUUUGAUACCUAAUUUUGAACCCACUGAAAAAUCAAAUCAAAAUUAAAUCAAAAUCUAAUAUGCAGUAUGGAGAAGGUUGUUUUGUUCCCAGUUUGCCUCUUGCCACAUCUCAAACUGCUUUGAGAUGUGGCAAGAGGCACGUGCAGGCUCAUCUGGAUGUGCCCUGGGAGCCCAUUUGUUUUUGAUAUUUUUAUAAAGUUUUGAAAGUCCAUCUGUCCACCUGUCUAUAUGUCCUUCCUUCCUCCCUCCUUGUUCAAGCUUUCAGUGCAAAUAUAGCUAUUCCCUGGAAAUGUCACAAACUGAUACUUGGAAUAUCUGAUAUUAUUGUAAGCAAAUCUUACUUGAGUCCUAAUCCAAAGUGCACAAAAGUCAACAGAAGGACUGUAGUGACUUCAAUAGAUGCAGGAUUAAGUAUGUUAACAGCAGUACUAAUGGACUUUGAUGAGUGCUUUUCUUGAGGGCUGAAUAAACCCACAUUCAGCCCAUAUUAUCUGUCAAAAAGCCACUUUCUAAUUGUCAAUGAGUACUAACUUGCACAGUAAGAUAGGGAACUAGCAAUUUCUCUCUUUGAUCUAGGUUCACAUUUUGUUUCUUGACAUGGGAAUCAAGAAUCAGGUCAGCUGUGUCGUUCUGGGGAAUAUUUUUCCCCAUCCACAAAAUGUCAGCUCAGCCUGGAUCAGCAAUCUUUGCUUCAAUGAUGUCUAAGAUCAGAACAGCAGCUGUGUGCGACAUCCAGAUUGGCCAUGCUUGUAAGAGAAAUCUUUUCUUGACCACAUCAUUUCAGGCAUUUGCCAGUUCUGGUAAGGUCCUGGUUUUCUUGAGUGUGCAGUUUACACAAAUGUUAACACUGUCACUUUAUCAUUUAGCAGCAUUUGCAAACAUGAUGUUCUACAAUGCCUUCAGUGAUCACAUCUGUUACCAAAAUAUCAUUCACACAGCCAGCCAUGCAAAGAAAGCAUUUUUAUAUUGAAUUUCUGACAACCCAAUCAUGUUUUUGAACAUUUUCCAAGCUUGGAACCAAACUUAGCUGCACAACCAGCCUUCUGUUUGUCAUUUCUACAGUGCCAGAAGUUGUUUCAUAUCAACUACGCUAUCUGACGUGUGACAUGUGGAGUUUCUGGACAUUCCCCUAAGUUUUACAUUUGAGGCAUUAGAAGACAAUAGAAUCCUUGGGGAACAGGGAGAUUUUUUUUUUAAGCAGAGUGGAAUUUCUCCUUUUCCUGACUUGUCCCAAGCAGCAGAAUUUCCAGCCCCAAGAAGCCUAGCUUUGUACCAGACAGGAAAAUGUAGUAGACCAUUGCUUUAUAUCUCCACUCCAGGCCAAGAACUCACAGUAGUGAGACAUCCCAGGCCAGCAGCAGAACUGGACAUGCCACUUAAUAUCAAUUUCCUCAUUCUCAUGAGUUAAAAACCCUGCAUCAACUCUGGCCUGUCAUUUUGUGUGAAAAGGUAUCCCGGUUGGCUUGAGAGGUAGGUCAGCAACUAAAGGAUCAUUUCUUUAGGAUUUUCUUAAUUUUCUUGUCCCAGAUAUAUAUAAAAAAACCCCAAACCAGAACAAACAAAAAGGCUAACAUAUGUAUGGCCAUGCAUAGACCUCUUGCAACCUGUGGCCACAAAUCUUGCCACGUAGCCAACCAGCCCUGCCCAAUGUUUUCUUUUUACUUUUUAGAAAUAUUGAUCUAAUCUAUCUUGUCUUUUAUAUAUCUAUGAUUAUUUUAUUUACAGUUCAGCUAGGCAAACUUUGCAGCAUCUCAUUAUCACAUGUUAUUAUGCACCAUACAUCAUUUAAUAUCCUAUGGUCUUACAUUGCAUAUUUGUUUUCAAGUCAGAUGCAGAGGGACACAAAAUUAAGUCAGUAAGUCAGACCUGCUCCUUUUGCUUCAUUUAAAUAUUAGGAUGAAGUAGGAGAAACACUUAAGAAUUUUAAUUAAUUGUUACGUAGAGGCACCAUAAAAGUAAUAAGCACAUACAAAAAACUAAGGCAAUUUCCUUUGUACGCCCAAAGGAAAUUUGCCAACUAAAUUUUGGACAGUCAAAGAACAUGUGAAAAUUCAGAAGGAUACAAAGAAAAAGGACUUUUCCAAAGUCAAUAUGCAUUUCAGUUCAGGACAUAUGAAAUAAUAGUUAGUGAUUUAUUGUCAGUUCGAUUUAUGACAUGAGCAAGGUACUGCCAAAAUCCCAGUUCCUAAAACUCUGGGGUUUCUAUUUUGCUGCUUCACAGUUCAAAGGAGAGUAGCUCAAAAGAACUGCUAUGGUGCCUGAAGGGACUUAGUGUAAGGGAAACCAGGAGAUAGCUGGCAGUAAUCUGCUUUGAAAAAGUAAAUGUAGCUUGGCAGGAAAUGCCUGGAAAAUGUGAAGUAAGGAAAAAGGGAAGGAGAGUGAAAGCCAAAGCUGUGUUUAUGAAACCAAGCCUAAAUUAUGGUAUUAUUAAGUCUCUUCCAAACUAAAUGGACAACACACAGAGAGAAAAUGUUUCCAAAUAAACUCUCUGUUCUGUUACUGACUUUCUUUCCUGAGUCACUUACUACUUGGAGCUACAUGAUCACCUGCUGUAUUAAAUAUAAUUCUACACUGUAAUUUAGGCUUAUGGUUACAUUCAUUCUCAGAUUUAUAGCUGCUUUCUAUAAGAAGGAAUUGCAAUUAAAAUCUAUUUAAAUAUGUGAAGGCGAAAUGGGAUUAUAGGAUCACAGAAAUAAAAAGAAGAGUAUCUGAUUUCUGAUUGUCCUAGCCAGUUUACAGAACGCACUUUAUAAAAUAGCUUAAUGUGGCAACUAAAUUAUUUGUUUCAUGGUAAUUUUAGAAUAUCAAAGUUGAGCUGUAGGAAACCAAAGUAGAUGUAUAAAUAAUAAUACUCUGUGACCCCUCAUCAGGAAAUAAUUUCUGAACUCUUAAGUAAAGCACUGCUUAAAUAGUGCCCUGAAUAUGGGUGGGUUUAUUUAUGCUCAUCUGCUUUCCUGAAUCAGCACCUAUAACAUAUAGAGUUAAGAGAAAUCAUUAAGCCCCUUUUUCAUGAAUGUUUUCCAGCCUGCCCAGCUAUAAUAAAAAUUAUUAAUUUCUGAUACACCAAAAGAAAAUGUUGAAAGGGAACUUCUUGUUUUGCAACAUGACUUUCUCAAAGCCUACUGAGAUAUUCAGCAAGCUUAAGGCAUGUUUAUGUCCACGUAAGUUAGGGCAAUGGAGUUCAUUAAGAAGUGACAAAAUUUGAAAUGAAAAUAAUUGUUUUGACAGUAACAGAUCAGGAACCUAAAUUCAUGAACAACAACAACAACAAAAAGAUGGAGCACUUCACGAAAAGUUAACACCCAACAUAGAUUUAGCCAAGGUUCAGUCUGAGUUGAAAAUGUGGUAUUUGCAUGGUAGGUCAUGAAAACUGACAGAGGCUUCAGAAGUAGUGCAGUAAUAAAGUCUGCAUGUCUUUUAACUGCUAUAAAGCAGUUUUUUCUAGUUUGCAGGCCACCAAGAUUGGUUCAAAGUCCUUCAGAAGAAGCCUUGAAUGUUUUAUCCCUUUUCUCUUGCUGAAGUGGAAGGCGUCUCUUAUCUUCUGCUUGGAUUUACAUUCACUCAUGUCCUUCUUACAACAUUAUUUGGCAAUGAGUUAUUACAAGAUCUUAUUCCAAAUGCAUGGUUUUUUUCCCUGGCGCUCUCAACAAACUCAAUGCCAGAGAGCAGAUGGUAGUGUUUAGCUGCCUCCUGCACCUGCAUGGAUGAGAAUGUGUUGAAAGCCCUCAUCUGUAUGUUAAGUAGAACAGAGCAAUACUAGAUGACCUUGUGGUUAACAAACACUGUUUAAUCUACACUAGCACUUACAACGGUGCUACUGUUGAAGGUGAACAGUAGGAACUAAACUGACUGUAAAGAAGAAAGCUAGAAUAUGCUAUGGCAGCAUCAGCAGAAGAUGGAUAGCAGCAUAAGGAGCGUAUAAAUGAAUGGAUUGUGUUGAACUACUAUUUUGUGUCACCAAACAGUUUUAUAACUGAUUCCUGUAAUGAUCAAAAGGAAACAUAUUUUGUGAUGCAUUUGGCGUCUGCAUUCAUACACGUAAUUGUUCAGCCCAUAUCUGGGUGUGGCGGUACUCCUAUAUGGUUUUGAACUUUUUAAUUAAAAUAGAUUAGAGAAACUAGACUGCCUAAUCCCUAACCAUUUCUUCCUAUUCCAUUAGGCAGGACUUUCCAAGAUGUAAAAUGUUAAUCUAUUUCAGGAGGAGAAGGUGUGGAAGGAGGAAAGUGUUGAAGUAAUGUGUGGCAUUCUCAAAGGUUGAGUUUUCUGGAGUAGACAGAAGGCACAAACAGUAGUGAGCUGGAAAGCAAAGGAAGUGAGAGACCAUACUUUGAAAAUAGUUGGAGGGGGAAGUUAAAAGCAGAAUUUAAGUACAGCAGGCAUGAAGACCGAAAGAAAGAUUGAGAAGGUCAGAGAGGUGAAAGAUAAGAGAAUAUUCUCUGAAAGAGGAGAGGGAUCACUUAGAACCUAGAAAGGGCUGAAAAUUAUUGCUAGAAAAUUCAACACAGCAAAAUCCAUGCAGGAAAUUACAUUUAUUAGAAAUCUUUAGUCUUUUAGACAUGCCAUAAGACACAAAUCAAACACUACAGUUAAGGGAGCAAUUCUCUUCUCAUUACUCUAGUGCAGUGGUUCUCAAUAUUUGUAGACUCAAGGUACCCCUUGGAAAACUCCAGCUCUGG